GGGCCCGCACAAGCGGUGGAGCAUGUGGUUUAAUUCGAUGAUACGCGAGGAACCUUACCAGGACUUAAAUGUAAGUUGCAUGAUUCAGAAAUGAAUCUUUCUUCGGACUACUUACAAGGUGCUGCAUGGUUGUCGUCAGCUCGUGCCGUGAGGUGUCAGGUUAAGUCCUAUAACGAGCGCAACCCCUAUCGUUAGUUGCCAUCAAGUAAAGUUGGGAACUCUAGCGAAACUGCCGGUGCAAACCGAGAGGAAGGUGGGGAUGACGUCAAAUCAUCACGGCCCUUACGUUCUGGGCUACACACGUGCUACAAUGGUCGGUACAGAAAGCAGCCACUAUGCGAAUAGGAGCUAAUCUUCAAAGCCGAUCACAGUUCGGAUCGGAGUCUGCAACUCGACUCCGUGAAGCUGGAAUC
rnacentral:rRNA from 1 species